GAGAUCCUCGAUCCCCUCCGCCCAAACCUCACCCGCCUCUCUCAUGCCUACCGCCCGAACCUCACCCGCCUCUCUCCUCUCCGGAUCCUAGGCCAUUUCUUCAUCUGAGCUCAGUACUUACUCUCGUGAAGCCCUGAUCCAAAGGCCUAGGGUUUCGAAUCAAAAGAUGCGCAGCCGGCGGCGAGGAAUCGAAUCGCGUGAGUAGCCGGCGGCCAACAAUUGGUGCGCUUGACCACCCCAAUUCAUUUGUCGCUCGCUUCUCCCAUUCCAUCUCAAACCCUUGAUCCCCCAGUUCGUGCCUAAUUUCUCGUCUGGCCUGCUUGAUGCGUCGGCGAGGGGGACGCCUCGCUCCUCCCUACUGAUGCGGUGAUGCCUCCUCCCCAUAUCCUCCGCAGGAGGCGAGCGAGGCCCUCCGUGGCGUCGACGGCUUAGCCGAGCGCAAGCUGCUAGGCGCCCCUGGUCCGUGCGCCGCGUUGGGCUCCGCGGCGGCUUUGUGGCAGGCGCACGGGGAUGCAGAGCCGCAACGGCGUAACUGUGCGGCCCGAGCGGCAGAGGAGCAGCGUCCCGAUCCCAGGAACUUGAGCUAUAAUUGACUGACAGGAAGCUUACCACCUGGUUUAGGCCAACCUUCACUUGUGUCACUUCUGUCUGGUAACAAAGGCCUCUAUGGUGUGCCUACCUUGCCUGCUUGUGCAUUAUUCCGGGAGAAAGGAGGGUUGAACAAAACUGGCAAAAUUGCACUUGGAGCAUCAUUCGGGUUUGUUCUUGUCAUACUGAUAGUGGUCUACAUUCUAUGCAUCAGAAGGGGCCAUAUGACUAUGACUUUGUUUGAGUUCCCUCAAGAUUUGACUUCCAUAUCGGCAAUCUCAGCAAAAAGGAAUAGAUACCAGAGGGUAAAGUUUGUGAUGCUUGCUGAGAUGGAGGCACUACGAUGUCUUCUUGGAUUAUCAAGUGUUUAUUUGUCUUUGAACUCAUUAAGACGUGUAUCUUAUGUCUUUACUUGGUUGUACCUUGUAAAUAAGCCCACAGGCCACAGGCCACAGGCCACGACUGAUAACACAUUUUGUAAUCCAAGUUGUAUCUAAGUUUGUGAACAAAUUGAUUAUUGAAAUGGCGAACCAUGUUUUGAUGUGCA